rnacentral:rRNA from 1 species
GACAGAGGUGCCAAGCGUUAGGCGGAAUCACUGGGCUUAAAGCGUGUGUAGGCGGGCGAUCAAGUACCUUGUGAAAUCCCCCGGCUCAGCCGGGGAAUGGCUGGGCAUACUGGCGAUCUUGAGCAGUCUAGGGGCAGAUGGAACAAGUGGUGGAGCGGUGAAAUGCGUAGAUAUCACUUGGAACGCCAACGGUGAAGACAGUCUGCUGGGGACUUGCUGACGCUGAGACACGAAAGCCAGGGGAGCGAACGGG